rnacentral:rRNA from 2 species
GCGAAACGUCCUAACUCAGGAGGGAAACGCCCGGUCCCAUUCCGAACCCGGAAGCUAAGCCUGUCUGCGCCGAUGGUACUGCACCCGACAGGGUGUGGGAGAGUAGGACACCGCC